rnacentral:rRNA from 1 species
GCGACCUCAGAUCAGACGAGACGACCCGCUGAACUUAAGCAUAUCACUAAGCGGAGGAGAAGAAACUAACCAGGAUUCCCUCAGUAGCGGCGAGUGAAGAGGGAAGAGC